rnacentral:tRNA from 1 species
AGGCGGUUAGCUCAGCUGGCAGAGCAGCGGACUCUUAAUCCGCGGGUCCAGGGUUCGAAUCCCUGACCGCCUA